CUGAGCACAUGGGCCCGCGGGUCGGGCAGGUUCGGGGCGGCCGGGACGAGGAGGAGCCCCGAGGAGCAGCUAGCAGGCAUGAGCCUGGGCUCUCCCGGCACCCGCGAGUGGAUUUCCACGCGGACAGGAGGUGGGCGCCCGGGUGACCCUGGAGACACGGCUGGAGCCACCUUCCA
rfam:Oryctolagus cuniculus chromosome 3, whole genome shotgun sequence.